GGAUGUAAGGGCAAUCUGGCUGUGACAUCUGUCACCCCAUUGAUGGCCAGGGUCGAUUCAGUUGAUCUGACUGGUUAGGUAGGUGUCUCCUUCCUCCCUCACCACCCCAUGUUAGUCCCUCUGGAAGAGGACAACCUUCCCUGAAUAGAGAAGGACUGAUCUUCAGUCAAGGUAUAGGAGUAGCCACGAUCCCCUGCUAGAACCUCCAAACAAGCUCUCAAUUGAUCUAUUUUUUAGAGGUAAGUUUGCACCAAUGCUGUUCGUUCCUCCUCAGUUGCAGACAGUAAUUAU
rnacentral:snRNA from 1 species